AUACGGAGGAUCCGAGCGUUAUCCGGAUUUAUUGGGUUUAAAGGGUGCGCAGGGGGAGAUUAAGUCGGCGGUGAAAUUUUGCAGCUCAACUGUAAAAGUGCUUUCGAAACUGGUUUCCUUGAGUGUAGAUGAAGUAGGCGGAAUUUGUGGUGUAGCGGUGAAAUGCAUAGAUAUCACGAGGAACUCCGAUUGCGCAGGCAGCUUACUAAACUACUACUGACGCUCAGGCACGAAGGCGUGGGGAUCAAACAGGAUUAGAUACCCUGGUAGUCCACGCAGUAAACGAUGAUUACUAGCUGUUUGUGAUACAAUGUAAGCGGCUGAGCGAAAGCGUUAAGUAAUCCACCUGGGGAGUACGUUCGCAAGAAUGAAACUCAAAUGAAUUGACGGGG
rnacentral:rRNA from 1 species